GCAGUCGCCGCGGUAAUACGGAGGGGGCUAGCGUUGUUCGGAAUUACUGGGCGUAAAGCGCGCGUAGGCGGCUUGGUAAGUUAGAGGUGAAAGCCCGGAGCUCAACUCCGGAAUUGCCUUUAAGACUGCCGAGCUAGUAGGUGAGAGAGGUAAGUGGAAUUCCGAGUGUAGAGGUGAAAUUCGUAGAUAUUCGGAAGAACACCAGUGGCGAAGGCGGCUUACUGGCUCAUUCUAGACGCUGAGGUGCGAAAGCGUGGGGAGCAAACAGGAUUAGAUACCCGGGUAGUCCCUGUCUCUUAUAU
rnacentral:rRNA from 1 species